rnacentral:rRNA from 1 species
AGAGUUUGAUCCUGGCUCAGAACGAACGCUGGCGGCAGGCCUAACACAUGCAAGUCGAGCGCGCCUUCGGGUGAGCGGCGGACGGGUUAGUAACGCGUGGGAACGUGCCCUUCUCUACGGAAUAGCCAUUGGAAACGAUGAGUAAUACUGUAUACGCCCUUCGGGGGAAAGAUUUAUCGGAGAAGGAUCGGCCCGCGUUAGAUUAGAUAGUUGGUGGGGUAGUGGCCUACCAAGUCUACGAUCUAUAGCUGGUUUUAGAGGAUGAUCAGCAACACUGGGACUGAGACACGGCCCAGACUCCUACGGGAGGCAGCAGUGGGGAAUCUUAGACAAUGGGCGCAAGCCUGAUCUAGCCAUGCCGCGUGUGUGAUGAAGGCCUUAGGGUCGUAAAGCACUUUCGCCAGGGAUGAUAAUGAUAGUACCUGGUAAAGAAACCCCGGCUAACUCCGUGCCAGCAGCCGCGGUAAUACGGAGGGGGUUAGCGUUGUUCGGAAUUACUGGGCGUAAAGCGCGCGUAGGCGGACUAUUAAGUCAGGGGUGAAAUCCCGGGGCUCAACCCCGGAACUGCCUUUGAUACUGGUAGUCUUGAGUUCGAGAGAGGUGAGUGGAAUUCCGAGUGUAGAGGUGAAAUUCGUAGAUAUUCGGAGGAACACCAGAGGCGAAGGCGGCUCACUGGCUCGAUACUGACGCUGAGGUGCGAAAGUGUGGGGAGCAAACAGGAUUAGAUACCCUGGUAGUCCACACCGUAAACGAUGAAUGCCAGUCGUCGGGCAGUAUACUGUUCGGUGACACACCUAACGGAUUAAGCAUUCCGCCUGGGGGAGUACGGUCGCAAGAUUAAAACUCAAAGGAAUUGACGGGGGCCCCGCACAAGCGGUGGAGCAUGUGGUUUAAUUCGAAGCAACGCGCAGAACCUUACCAACCCUUGACAUCCUGUGCCACUCCGAGAGAUCGGACGUUCCCCUCGGGGACGCAGUGACAGGUGCUGCAUGGCUGUCGUCCGCUCGUGUCGUGAGAUGUUCGGUUAAGUCCGGCAACGAGCGCAACCCACAUCUUUAGUUGCCAGCAGUUCGGCUGGGCACUCUAAAGAAACUGCCCGUGAUAAGCGGGAGGAAGGUGUGGAUGACGUCAAGUCCUCAUGGCCCUUACGGGUUGGGCUACACACGUGCUACAAUGGUAGUGACAAUGGGUUAAUCCCAAAAAGCUAUCUCAGUUCGGAUUGGGGUCUGCAACUCGACCCCAUGAAGUCGGAAUCGCUAGUAAUCGCGUAACAGCAUGACGCGGUGAAUACGUUCCCGGGCCUUGUACACACCGCCCGUCACACCAUGGGAGUUGGUUCUACCCGACGGCCGUGCGCUAACCUUUUGGAGGCAGCGGACCACGGUAGGAUCAGCGACUGGGGUGAAGUCGUAACAAGGUAGCC